UCUCCAAGGAUCUAUGACAAUUCAAAGAGGAAAAAAGAGAUGCAUUGCUAUAGUUGAAGUGGGAUAACCUGAGAAUCCUACCUCCUAGUAGUUCCGGGUCUAAAGAGAACCCUCCUUUCUCUCCUAAGGUCUCUACAACCCUCCCAGGUCCAGGCUCCUGGCUUCAGGACCCCUCAGAGGUUUAUAUAAACUACCUCAGAACCUUGUGGGAAGCAGGUGACGUGUGAAUAAAUAUUGGGAAGCAGGCUGCUGUUUGUCCUUCGUUCUCCAAGAGGACCACGACAUCAGGGAAGCAGGUGGAGUGUAAAGAAACAUAUGGAGAGAAUCAAGACAUUGUUUGAUUCAGCUGUUCACAUUUAUUUACUGGUAAUUUCAAAACACUGACAAAACACAUCACACUUUGCUUGUAACUUCCCCCCCACUUAAAUCUCUGUAUACUUGGGACAUAAAGCUCCAGAUUAGCUGCAUCCACUUGAACUAGAGUAUUUUCCUCAUGAAAACACAAAAAAUGGUGCAAAUAUCAAAAACGUGCCCAAAAAAUGUGCAAAAGAACAAAAGUGCAAAAGUUUCCUUCGUUGUUGUCACCAUAGUUAUCCCCCCACCCCCAAA